AAUAAUUGCAGUUUUAUACUAUUCACGUUUAACGUUUGACCGUUCGUCUUAUUUGAAAUUUUUUUAUGAUUAGUAUUUUUAUUGCUAUUAGAUGAUACUUUAUGUGUGAUUAAAUAUUUUUAAAUUUUUCACAAAUUUUUCAAAUAAGACGGACGGUCAAACGUUAAGAACGGAUAUCCACGGCUGUACUUAUU
rfam:Oryza glumipatula chromosome 3, whole genome shotgun sequence.